rnacentral:rRNA from 1 species
GUACUUGAUCCUGGCUCAGGAUGAACGCUAGCGGCAGGCCUAACACAUGCAAGUCGACGGAGCUUGCUCCUUUGAGACCGGCGCACGGGUGCCUAACGCGUAUGCAAUCUAGGUUGUACAGGGGAAUAGCCCAGAGAUUUUUGGAUUAAUGCCGGAUGGUAUAUUUGAAUGGCAUCAUUUAAAUACUAAAGAUUUAUCGGUACAAGAUGAGCAUGCGUCCCAUUACUUAGUUGGUAAGGUAACGGCUUACCAAGGCGAUGAUGGGUAGGGGUCCUGAGAGGGAGAUCCCCCACACUCCAACUGAGACACGGACCAGACUCCGGGAGGCAGCAGUGUAGGAAUAUUGGGCAAUGGAGGCAACUCUGGAUCAGCCAUGCCGCGUGCAGGAAGACGGUCCUAUGGAUUGCCUACUGCUUUUAUACGGGAAGAAACACCCCCUCGUGAACGACUUGACGGUACCGUAAGAAUAAGGAUCGGCUAACUCCGUUUCGCAGCCGCGGUAAUACGGAGGAUCCAAGCGUUAUCCCGGAAUCAUUGGGUUUAAAGGGUCUGUAGGCGCUGAUAAGUCAGUGGUGAAAUCUCCUAGCUCACCUAGGAUACUGCCAUUGAUACUGUAGGGCGGGAAUUAUUGUGAAGUGACUAGAAUAUGUAGUGUAGCGGUGAAAUGCUUAGAUAUUACAUGGAAUACCAAUUGCGAAGGCAGCAUACUAAUAGUGGAUUGACCUUGAUGGACGAAAGCGUGGGUAGCGAACAGGAUUAGAUACCCUGGUAGUCCACGGCGUAAACGAUCGAUACUAGCUGUUGGGAGCAAUCUCAGUGGCUAAGCGAAAGUGAUUAGUAUCCCACCUGGCGAGUACGAACGCAAGUUUGAAACUCAAAGGAAUUGACGGCCGCGCGCACAAGCGGUGGAGCAUGUGGUUUAGUUCGAUGAUACCCGAGGAACCUUACCAUGGCUUAAAUGUAGAUUGACAGAUAAGGAAACAGAUGGUUUCCGGACAAUUUACAACCUGCUGCAAGGUAGUGGUCAGCUCGUGCCGUGAGGUGCUAGGUUAAGUCCUAUAACGAGCGCAACCCCUGACGUUAGUUGCCAGCGAGUCAUGUCCCUAACUCUAACGAGAGUAGCAAACUGUGAGGAAGGUGGGGAUCUGACCAAAUCAUCACGGCCCUUACCGCUUGGGCUACACACGUGCUACAAUGGUAGGUACAGAGAGCAGCCACUACGCAAGUUGGAGCGAAUCUACAAUUCCUAUCUCAGUUCGGAUCGCAGUCUGCAACUCGGUUCCGUGAAGCUGGAAUCGCUAGUAAUCGGGCUUCAGCCAUGAUCCGGUGACUACGUUCCCGGGCCUUGUACACAGUUCCCGUCAAGCCAUGGAAGCUGGGGGUACCUGAAGUCGGUGACCGCAACCAGCUGCCUAGGGUAAAACUCGUAACUGGGCCUAAGUCGUAGCAGACCCA